rnacentral:rRNA from 1 species
AGAACGAACGCUGGCGGCAGGCUUAACACAUGCAAGUCGAGCGCCCCGCAAGGGGAGCGGCAGACGGGUGAGUAACGCGUGGGAACAUACCCUCCGGUUCGGAAUAGCUCAGGGAAACUUGGAUUAAUACCGGGUACGGCCUAGCGGCGAAAGAUUGAUCGCCGGAGGAUUGGCCCGCGUCUGAUUAGCUAGUUGGUGGGGUAAUGGCCCACCAAGGCGACGAUCAGUAGCUGGUCUGAGAGGAUGAUCAGCCACAUUGGGACUGAGACACGGCCCAAACUCCUACGGGAGGCAGCAGUUGGGAAUAUUGGACAAUGGGCGCAAGCCUGAUCCAGCCAUGCCGCGUGAGUGAUGACGGCCUUAGGGUUGUAAAGCUCUUUCGCUAGGGACGAUAAUGACGGUACCUAGACAAGAAGCCCCGGCUAACUUCGUGCCAGCAGCCGC